rnacentral:lncRNA from 1 species
AGGAAACCUCCGCCUACAAGGCAUUACAAAUCUGAGCUAGAGAAUGACUGUUCAGUGAAACACAUAGUAAAUAAAAUGCAAAUCAUAAAACAUGAAGAAAAAAAAAUGUUGGUGUUGCCUCAAGACUGAGAAAGGUUGACAUGUGAGGAGCAGCAAAAUCCCAGGAGUUAUUUUCAGGCCAGGUGAACCUCGGGGCAUGGGUAAGCUGGGACGAAUGGUGCCACAACCCAGUCCGCCAGCUUGCUGCUCUCCCAAAGCCCGACCAGCUUUCAAAAUAAUAUUUUAAGUCUCUCUUUUCCACUUUUUUUAUCUGCAGCUGCAGUGAGCAAUCCUUAAAUGACUGAGUUUUCCCUUCAAAACCAUCUGUUCAGGGCACUGAACUAAUCCUCUUCCAGGGGCACCGCAGCCUGGACCCCUCAAACACCGCUGUCACCAGGCUCUCCAGCACCGUGGGGGCAGGAUUAGUCCUGCAACAUGACCUCUGCCAGCGCCCUCUGCUCAGCACGCUCCGGGCUGAUUUUCCAUGGCCAGCAAUGCCUUCAAGAGGAAUUUCUUUUGACGCAUCCAGUGGGGAAGAAAGCACUGUCAAGAGGGCUUUAAAAAAAGUGAAAGUGCUGCUGGCUGAUGCGUUUUCAGGAAUCCCAGUGCUCAGGGGACACCACAGCUGCCAGAAAAACACGUCUGGGACGGAGCGUGGUGCGCUGUGCUGCCAAGUGCGAGGCCGGGAUCAAGAGGAGCAUCUGUAUUCACAUUUCCCACAUCUGUACUGGCGUUUCCCACACUGUCAGGAGGCUGGCAGCGUUGCGCCGAUGACAGCUCUAAUCGGGAGGAGGGCAGUGUGACGGGUGGUGGAGGGAGGUGGCCUUUGCCGGCACUGAGAGCACUGCCCACAUCAGCAAGCAUCGCAGGCACCGAGAACCAGCGACUGUACGGCGAACAAUUAGUGGCCCAGAUCUGAGAGCUACAAAAUCCCAGGAGGGGUGCUAAGGAACAUUUGUGCUCCCCGUGCUCAGACACCAAUUUUGUGCAAUUGUUUCUUUGAAACUGAAAAGGAACGGAGUGCAGACCCAUAUGGAAAAUGAUGCUGUGCAUCCAUGCGGACAUAUUCCAAGCAUACCGUGGGACAUAAGAUCUGAAGGAGGAAGAACUGGAAAAUUAUUUAUGCACGGUGAAAUGCAGCAUGCAGGCAGCCAAGAUUACUCAGUGCAGCUGAAGUUCAAACUGGAACAUGGCUUUGGCAGGAAAAAAGUAUUAAGAAAUUGUUUCUGAAAUUUCAUUAAUAUCUAGCUGGUUCAUCUUGACGCUUCCAAAAGGAAAUACUUCUUAUGGGGAAAAGAAAUUCAAAUUCAGUUCACUAGGGGACUCAAGCACCAUUUUGCAAGGAGAGGAGCACACACACACACAUAUAUAAUGUGCCGUCAAAGUGGUUAAAUACAAAAUGAUUAAAUAAUGUUAGCAUAUUAGCUAUUCAUUGAUGCGGGGACUCCACCUUCCCAAGGGGAUGUCCUCCCCUUGAGACUGCGGUGUCCCUUGUACUCUGACUGCAGGGAUGCCGAGUCACAUCGCGGGGACACCGUCACACAGCAUCCCCCGGGAUGUGCUGCUGGGCUAAUAGCUGGACACUGUCCAACAGCAUGAAAUGCUCUGCCUCAGCCUCUUUCUGCAGCAUAAGCAUUAUUGAACUCCACUCUAAUAUUUGUUGUUGUAUGCCUUCAGCCACCAGUUUUAGUUCCUGAGGUGUCUUAGCACCUCUCUGGUGACAGCAGUAGAGAUGCGCCUUUAGUUCCUUUGUGAAUCCAGAUCUGGAUCCCUUGUCUAAGGAACAGGACCCAUUUUUUCUUG